ACCCUCUCAAGGUCACACCUAGGGAGUUUCCAGAACUCUACUAGCCUCGGCUAUGGGAGGGAGAGUCAAGCGGAGGCCUGCCCAUUCCAUUCCUAGCUUGGACAGUGGUUAGCGAGUGGAAGGCAAUCUGCUACAAGU